CUUUUACGUGUGACACAUAUGAUUUGGUUUAUCCAUGUAUUAUAAAGUUGUUCAAGACGCACAUCCAGCCUUAAGAAAGGCAUAACGUCAUACAAGGACUGAAAAGUGACGUUUGCAACGGUAAACUCUUUUUGUUUGAAGGAACAUUUUUCUUUUUGACCAUUUUUGUGUUUGUGACGAAGCGGACUCAUUCCCUCUUUGCGUAAAUGCGGCCAGCGAGGUGGAAGCUGAAUUAGUGAGGAUGACUCCUGCUCCUGUCAUCUCUAAACUCCUCACACAUCUUUACCUGCACAUGAGGAAGAUCACUCCUGUAGAAUGCAGAUGUUCAGAGGGAGAUGAUACCACAUCUGGUCCAGCUGAUGGAAGGUCUUGAAGUUCUCUGACUGGCCUCGACUGAAGAUGGUCGUCUCACUGGAUUUAAGGUUCAGAUGCUCAGUAACAAACUCCACCAAUGUGCCAACAGGGAAGCUUUAGGUUUAUUAAAUGUUGCUAUGAAGGUUUUGCUGUUUUUCUUUGUGAAUGCAAUGUGCUCCAACUGAAACUUGAAUUAGAACUUAGAAGUAAAUCCUUCCAUCUGAAACGAUUUAGUUGCAUUAAUAACCUCAUAACAUUCUAAUUUUUAUUCCAGUCUUGGUUGGAAAUAGAAUCUCUGUAUUGAUUCAGGUAAAAACUGAACUUCACAGCAUGUUGGAGCAAAACAACCAGAUGAAAACUGUGAUGAUGUUGGAUUGUCAGACUGUAAUGUUGCAGCUCAAAGCAGCUUUUCUAUCUCAGUUCAUUCUGACAUUCAGCUAUGAAUCAACACAGCGGAUGGUGAUCCACGCUGUGGAAGUCUCACAUCUCCUGAUGUAAUGGAACUUCUGCAGAGUCCUGGUUCCAGAACAUGAUGAUAGAAUUAUAGACAAACUUUAACAAAAGCUGUCUGAGAGUUUACAGGUUUUUAUGUUAGAUUUCUUCAGUAUUUUAAUGAGAGUUAUCAGCAAAAAUCAAGGGUUAAUUUGAUGAACUUGAUUUCCUAAAACAUCCAGAAUUGGAGCUCAUAUCUUUGGCAGCUGUAAAGUUUCUGCUCCUUCAAAGUUCACAACACAAUGAAUUAAUUCCUAAAACACUCUCAAUGCUGGAGAGCGUUUGUGAUGCUGAAGCAGUGAUCAGUUUUUCUGUUUCUUCUCUGGAGAUGCACAAUGAGGGACGUCUGCAGAGACUGAGAAAGAGUCUCACCACAUCCUGACAUGAGGAAAAAGACUUUAUUGAAGACUACAAUGAGAAAAACUAUCAGAUAGCAGACGGCUGCAUUCAAGGCUACAGGAGGAGCCCUAUGAGGACGAGCCGGUCCACCUGAUGGUGGCCAGUCGCUGCGGUUCAAAGCCAACACCGACUACGUGGACUUGUACUGGACCACAUGGAGGCCUUCAAACCGGACCCAACAAGUUCACCGACUCCCCGACUCGUGGGUCUGAGGACGCCGCCGAGCCUCGGUCCAGCCGGCCUCCUGUCUGUGGGUGUUUGAGUGCUGAGAGGGAUUACCACAGACCUGACCGUGAACACCGUUGACACCCACCUGAGGGAGACGCUGCCUGAGAUCUCAAGGCUGCUUGGUCGUGGUCUUUCUGGUCCUGCUCCAGAACGCCUUCAUCAACUACGUCUUCUUCUGAAGAGGCCCUCAGAUGCUGCAAUCUCUAACCUUAAGGAAGAACUGCUAAUUUCACUCUGUAACGAGACGGCGGUUAUUUUAAAGACCCAGCUCCUGGCGGCUUUGAGUGAAAAUAACUGGAGCCUUCAAUUGGCUCCUGCUGGUCAUACUACAACUCUUGGUUUGGUACUAAAUUAAAAAUCUGAAUUUUAAGGAAUUUUUUAGUAAAUAAAAUUCAAUCACUUCACCCUUAAACACUGCAGAAAAAAUAAACUCCAUACCACCAGCAAAAGGGUCCUACUGAUCAUACCUUCAGGUUUUUUCUUCCAAGUAUUGCCCGUACAGUCCUUAACUUGGAAAAUAUUAUUAGCUGUUUAACAUUAUGGUUUAAAUGAAUCAAUUAAUGCUGCAGCCUUGUAAGAAGGCGUCUUAUUGUCUUUCUUCCCAAUGGUCAGUACUUGAGACAGUCUAGUGUAGUUUGGUAUACUGGUGUUAUCUGAUCCUCUCUUUGGUGAGGAUUCCAAGUUCCAUUACUAUUCAGUAUCAUGUAUUUGGACAAACAGUUGCACUGUGGAUCUAAAAAUAUAGUACCACAUACAUCAAAAGAAGAGCCAUCAAAGCUAAUUUACUCAUAAUCCUUAAACUUCACACACAUGCAUGCACACUAAAUAGUGUGCACAACUUCAUAUGGCAACAUACAACCCAAAUAAAAUAAAAUUCAGUUGCUUUCGGUUAUUAAUGUACCACAAUCUACCAAAAAAAUGGAUGAGCACUUUUAUCUGUUAGAACAAAAAAUAUUUGAGAUAUAUAACAACAAUUUCAAUACUAAUAAAAAAAAUCCUUAAAAUCAUAAAAAGAUAAAUAUCAAAUCAAGAGUUGUAGUAUGAUUUUGGUGGCACUACAGUGUAUAAGAGUGAAGUUAUUGAAUUUUAUUACUAAUAAAAUAAUAAAUGAAAAUUUCUGAAAAUUCAGAUUUUGUGUUUAAUGUCAAACUAAGAGUUGUAGUAUGAUCAACAGGAGCCAAUUGAUGGCUCCAGUGAUUUUGGUGACACUACAGUACAUAAGAGUGAAGUGAAGUUAUUGAAUUUUCUUACUAAUAAAAUAAUAAGAAAAUAUUUUUUAAAAAUUGCUUAAAAUUAU
ensembl:lncRNA